rnacentral:rRNA from 1 species
AAACCAACAGGGAUUGCCUCAGUAACGGCGAGUGAAGCGGCAAAAGCUCAAAUUUGAAACCCUCGGGAUUGUAAUUUGAAGAUUUGGCAUUGGAGAAAGCUAACCCAAGUUGCUUGGAAUAGUACGUCAUAGAGGGUGACAACCCCGUCUGGCUAACCGUUCUCCAUGUAUUGCCUUAUCAAAGAGUCGAGUUGUUUGGGAAUGCAGCUCAAAGUGGGUGGUAAACUCCAUCUAAAGCUAAAUACUGGUGAGAGACCGAUAGCGAACAAGUACUGUGAAGGAAAGGUGAAAAGAACUUUGAAAAGAGAGUGAAAUAGUAUGUGAAAUUGUUGAUAGGGAAGGAAAUGAGUGGAGAGUGGCCGAGGUUUCAGCCGCCCCUCGUGGGCGGUGUACUGCCGACGCCGAGUCAUCGAUAGCGAGACGAGGGUUACAAAUGGGAGCGCCUUUCGGGCGUUCUCCCCUAACCCUCCACACUGCCACCGACGACAUAAUCCACC